rnacentral:tRNA from 1 species
UGGGAAGUCGUCUAAUGGCAGGACUCUGGAUUCUGGUUCCAGUUAUAGAGGUUCGACUCCUCUCUUCCCAG